CCUACGGGUGGCAGCAGUGAGGAAUAUUGGUCAAUGGGCGCGAGCCUGAACCAGCCAAGUCGCGUGAGGGAGGACGGCCCUACGGGUUGUAAACCGCGGUUGCCGGGGAGCAAGGGGCGUCACGUGUGGGGCCACUGAGAGUACCCGGAGAAAAAGCAGCGGCUAACUCCGUGCCAGCAGCCGCGGUAAGACGGAGGAUGCGAGCGUGAGCCGGAUGUAUUGGGUUUAAAGGGUGCGUAGGCGGAGCGUUAAGUCAGUGGUCAAAUUGAGGGGCUCAACCCCUUCCCGCCAUUGAAACUGGCGCUCUUGAGUGGACGAGAGUUAUGCGGAAUGCGUGGUGUAGCGGU
rnacentral:rRNA from 1 species